UACGGAAGGCAGCAGUGGAGAAUAUUGCACAAUGGGCGCAAGCCUGAUGCAGCCAUGCCGCGUGUAUGAAGAAGGCCUUCGGGUUGUAAAGUACUUUCAGUCGUGAGGAAGGUGUUAAGGUUAAUAACCUUAGCAAUUGACGUUAGCGACAGAAGAAGCACCGGCUAACUCCGUGCCAGCAGCCGCGGUAAUACGGAGGGUGCGAGCGUUAAUCGGAAUUACUGGGCGUAAAGGGCACGCAGGCGGUUAAUUAAGUUGGAUGUGAAUCCCCGGGCUUAACCUGGGAAUGGCAUUCAAGACUGGUUAGCUAGAGUCUUGUAGAGGGGGUUAGAAUUCCAUGUGUAGCGGUGAAAUGCGUAGAGAUGUGGAGGAAUACCGGUGGCGAAGGCGGCCCCUGGGACAAAGACUGACGCUCAUGUGCGAAAGCGUGGGGAGCAAACAGGAUUAGAUACC
rnacentral:rRNA from 1 species